CCUUCAUCUAAAUAUAUUUCAUUCUUGUUAGUGGGGUCACAUCCUGGGAAUAUUAGUAUUAUUUGGAAAAAUGGGAAUAUUAAUA